GUUCGAUGAUGUUCAAACAUAUUUGCUACUCUCGACUUUGGAUGACGACACUUUUAAUCACCAAGAUCGCUGAGAAG
rnacentral:snoRNA from 1 species